rnacentral:lncRNA from 1 species
AACCUCAGUAUGUUUGAAGUUUGAAUAUUUGUAUUUUUUAUUUAUGUGGUGAAAUGUAAUUGUAUUUUAUUAUUAGAACAGAUUUGUUUUGUUCAAUUAUGUUAAACAAAAAUUUCAUGCUAGCAAAGGUUAUGGAUGAAAAACUGUUUACAAAUAUGUUUUCUAUUGAAAAAAAGGCAUGAUAAAUCAAUGUAGAAAUGUUUGUAUAAACAUUAAACAAUCCAAGUUGAUAUAUUGCUGUUGACAGAUUACUAUAAGAUUUGCACAAAAAUUAGACAAAAUGUCUUGUAAACAUUAAUAUAUUCAAAACUGUUUUAAAAGGGGAUUAUGCUUAUCUCUAUUCUCAUCAGUGAAGAAAUCACUGUUUGCUGACUAUGCAGUGUGUGCCAUGUGCCUAAAAUUGGCAAACCACACACAUCAACUGGUCAGUUGUAGUAAGUCACUUUUUUGACAUUUUGCUCGUGGUAUUAUGUGCGGUAUGAUACAUCUGCUGUACCGGCAUUUGUAAGUAGAGUUUUCUACUGUUUGACAUGUGUUCUAAAUCCUAUUGUUACAAAUAGUGUUUAUUUUAUUUUUCAUUAUUCUUUUGUGUUUAUAAAAUCAAAAGAUUCAUAAAUUGUCGAUUAUUCCAAUCAAAUUUCUAUUUCAGAUUCUGGUUAUCAUAAGUCCUUCUCAGCCUUGUUGUUAGACCAUUGUCACAUGUAAAACAUUGGAAAAAAAUUUCAAAUCAAAUAUAAUUAUAUUCCAUUAUUGUUGUUGCUGUAAAUUUGUAAAUUUUGUGAUAAUGGUGGCAUAACAGUAUCAACUUAAUGCUUUCCACCUGUAAUAAACAAUGUCUUUAAUCACUUGUUGAAUUUUAAUCAUGAGUUUUGAUGAUUGAAAUUGUACAAAAUAUUCAAGAAUUUUCAAUAGUAAAAUGUGCAUGUUGCCAUCCAAAAUAUGUAAAAUACACAAGAGUGCCAUUGAGAAAAGAAUGUAUUGAUAAGAAAUUUAUUGAAUCAUCAUUUGUGAGAUGGCACUUUAUUUUAAUUGUCACAAUAGGGAAUCUUUUAUCAACUAAGCAAAUCACCUUACAUUAGCAUUCCAUAGAGAACCAGUCCUCACAUUUUCACUGGUGCUUUGUUGUCCUUUAUUUAAUUCUACCAUGCAGAUUUCAACUAUGGAAGACACCCAAAAAUCCUUAUGUUGAGGUUAUUCUGAUGUGGCUGAACUGUGUAUUCCAAUAUGAAUUGAAACAUUUGUGUCAGUGGCUGUGACUAUUGCCAAAUGUAGGCUAAGACAUUAUAUAGCAUAAUAGACUAAGCAAAGCAUAUGUAAUAUAAGCCUUUCAAGUCAUGCAAAUCUUUACUUGACCUCAAAUGUUUAAAAAAAAAGGUCAAAAUUAGUCCCUACAGCAUUCCAAGAUGCAUCAGGCUUUGCCUGCUGUUUAUUCAUAAUUGUACUUUGUGAAAUAUUAAAUAUGAAUAUGCCAAGUUAGAAAGUGCAGUUAUGUCAUUUAUUAUCGCUCGAAUUCACCGAUGUCUUCUACUGAUUUCCAAAGCUAGUCAGUCUUACUGAAAUUUUGCUUGUAUGUUUUUCUGUUCCAAAGUAAAAAGUCAACCGUUGUCACAAUAAUGAUUUUGUUCUUGUAUUGCAACUUUGCAAGAGUUCAUUUUAUUGUUUUGUGGAUACUAAGGAAAAAAUUCCUCCUAUUAAUUUAUACAGAAUGGAAUUAUUUCUUUAAUAUUCAAUCAUUUGUUCUUCUGGAG